AAAAGAAAUGAAGUUGAUGUAUGUCCCAAGUUUUGAUGAAACUGUAUUUGUAAAAAAAAUUUUGUAGUUUAAGUAUUGUCAUACAGUGUUCAAAACCCCAGCCAAUGACCAGCAGUUGGUAUGAAGAACCUUUGACAUUUUGUAAAAGGCCAUUUCUUGGAGUUUUUUGGUGUGUCUGUUUUUUUAAAGUAUUCAAGAUACUACCAGUCAACAUCUUUUUGGAAGAAAAUGCCUUGGGUUUAGAAGAUUUUCUUAAAAGGGGAGUAGAUGGUUGUAGAUUGACUAAAGUCUACCAUACUUCAAGGGACUACAGCUGCACCUACCUCUGGAUCAAAACUUCUAGGACAUCAAGCCAAUUAUCUUCUGUAAUACCCUACCCCUAAUAUAGAUACCCCCAACUCACCUCA
rnacentral:sRNA from 1 species